UCCCUCGUGGCGCAAUUGGCUAGCGCGUUCGACUGUUAGCAAGAUUCUGUUAUCGAGAGGUUGGUGGUUCGAGCCCACCCGAGGGAG
rfam:Pseudogymnoascus pannorum VKM F-4519 (FW-2642) contig_1111, whole genome shotgun sequence.